rnacentral:lncRNA from 1 species
GUCAAUAUCAUAUAUUAUUUCAUUUCUAAAUUAGUUUUGUUUCCUAUUACAGCCAACUAAACGUGUAUUAUAUAUUCUAUUGUUUAUUGAAACAAGUCAAUAAAAAUUUGCUUCAUUCAUUGAAAUUCAACAUAGUAUCAGAGCGUUAGAUUUCAAAAAAAUCCAUACCCUACCUUUGCCAUGGCCAAACUUGUCUUGGAUGCCAACAAAUCUCUCAUGGAUGCCUCUUCCCCAUAUUACCUGCACACAUCCGACCAACUAAACCAACACCUCGUUGAUGCUCUUCUAAAUGGAGACAAUUACCCUGCCCAGCGUCGAUCAAUAAUACGCACCUUGAAUGCUAAAAUAAACUAGGAUUCGUCCUUGGCACCAUCAAACGCCCAACCACGGACACAGCUGCCGCACUACUUUGGGACCGAUGUUGCGACAUGAUAAUGUCGUGGUUACUUCAUUCCAUUGGUCGAUCUCUCACUGGACGCCUCCUUUAUUGUGAAACACCCAAUGACCUAUGGGUUGAACUGGAGACCAGAUUUUAGCAAAGAAACAAAACGAAAAUUUUUAGCCUCAAAUGUGAUCUUGCCAAUCUCUUCCGUUACAUCUUCAAUUGCUGCAGUCACAUCUUCAGGUACGAUUCAUCCACUCUCUCAAUUUGUCUCAUAUAAUAAUUUUUUCGCUACUCACUUUGCCUUUUCAUCUGCUUUAUCACAAUCUUCUGACCCUACUAGUUACUCUCAAGCUACUAAGCACUCCCACUGGCGUGAUGCUUUGCAGGCUGAGCUUCGAGCCCUUGAAACUAAUCAUACUUGGUAUCUUACUCUGCUUCCCCUUGGUAAGAAACCCAUUGAUUGUAAGUGGAUCUUUAAAACUAAAUUACAUGCAGAUGGUUCCGUCGAAAGGUAUAAAACUCGGUUGGUGGCCAAAGGUUACACUCAGGUUGAGGGUCUUGAUUAUCAUGACAUUGUUGCCCCUGUGGCCAAACUUGUUACUAUUCGUUGUGUAUUAGCGAUUGCAGCUACCCGUAAUUGGCAUCUUCAUCAAC